CCCUCUGAGCCCCAGGAGCACUUCUGUGCUGUGCGGCCCUCACAGAAUGUGAGUUACGCGAGGCCCAACCAGCCUUGCCAGCUCCAGGUGUUAACCGUGGUUCUCAGAUGAGGUGUGCAGCCCUGGGAUCCCUGUGUUAAAGGGAAAGUGGUAGAGCUGGGUGAGAAACACCUUCGGCCUGCAACAAAACACACCUAAGGUCUGUGUGGCCUCCAUAGUGUUUCUUGCCACUGAGUUUAAAGGCAAUCUAAGGGGAAGGAACACCAAAAUCCUCAGCUCAGAACGGAGCUUCAAUGGAGUUAACACCAAAGGCAGAAGGAAAGCUGGAGCAAACCGAAGGAGUUAGACAAUAAACCCAGGUCCAGACAAAGUAAGAGGGGGGAAGCUAAAAUACAGAAUGAGGACAACAGGACACAAGGAGUGGGCAGGAAGAAGGCAGUUAGUGGCUGCACGCACAAAAUUCCAGGAGAAAUUUGAGGAAGCCGAACAGAAAACAAGGGCCUGAGAACAAGAGCCAUGGCCACACGGCCUCUCAAUCUCUCCCACAGCUUUUGAACCUCUGAAGCCACUUUCAGACCAGUUGUGUUUGGGGGGGGAGGGAGUGGGGGGAGAUUGGCAAAUGGAUCACAGAGAGUAAAACCAAGGCUGAUGGUUUUCUGUUAGCAGUAUGCCGCAAUGCUGCUUCUUGAGGUUAUUUAUGGGGAAAGCUGGGGAGAGUACAGCCACGGGCAAACGACAUAUAUCACAGAAAGACUGCCAUCAUUAUUUCUACUGCUCCUGGAACAACCCAUUUGUAAUUGCUAUACCAGAGUAAUUUGGCCAAGGAGUUCUAGGCUAUGUCAAUUAAGAAGAGUUGCAGAUCUCAGCACUUUUAAUCAAUUAACAUCACUUAGUAAGGCAGAAUCAGUCCAUCAUCUUCAGAAUAGCACCGCUGCUCUUAACAUAUUGUUUAAAACUAUUGGACCAGGGAGUGCAGCACACGUUCAUUGCUUGGUAUCAGUUACUGUCUACUACGGCCAACUUCCUAUGUGGAUAAAGCGUCUGCCCAUCACAUUUCUGUGAAGAGUACCUUCCUUUUUGUUUUAAAAGCCUUGAAAGAUGGAGUUGACUGGCUUACACAUGCCUGGAAAAUCAGUUACAAGGCGAGUCAUAAUUAAUGCCAAAGAACGUACUGCAUAAAUUAAGAGCCACAUUCUCACAAAGGCUAAGGAAUUUAAUAUGCAUCAAAGAUUUUAUUUGAAUUAACUGGAUUCAAAUAUUAAAAUAAGUACAUUAAAUUACAACAUUAAAUAUGCUUUAAAUACAAUAAACUAGAUGUUUUUAGUUUCUAAACACAAAGGGAACAAAAAUAAUUCAGAAGAAUGCAAUACAAUUAAUGACACCAGAUGACAGAACAAGGACUUUAUGUAAAUCUGCAAGAUGUCAACUCUCUGCAAUGUUUACUUUAAGAAGACAUGGUGGCAUUUCAACUGAUGCACAAAACCCAUGUUACAUAAAUUUAGUAAGGUAUCUCUCAGAAAAUAUUGCUGUUAUAAUUCUCAUUUUCGCCACGAUCAAAACUCCUUUGGUAGCUCUUUUUCAGAAUGAAACACGCCAGUAUGCAAAUCCCGAAAAUAAACAGCAUCUUCAGUGCAUGCAGCUGGUUGAAUAAUAUACAUCAACCUGAAAUCUGCUAAAAAAUAAAGUCUGGAACAGCAUAGGUAUUCGGUGUCCUGAAGAUAUAUUUGGAUUUUU